rnacentral:rRNA from 1 species
UACGUAGGGUGCGAGCGUUAAUCGGAAUUACUGGGCGUAAAGCGUGCGCAGGCGGUUCGCUGUGUCCGAUGUGAAAGCCCCGGGCUUAACCUGGGAAUGGCAUUGGAAACUGGCGGGCUAGAGUGUGGCAGAGGGGGGUGGAAUUCCGCGUGUAGCAGUGAAAUGCGUAGAGAUGCGGAGGAACACCGAUGGCGAAGGCAGCCCCCUGGGCUAACACUGACGCUCAGGCACGAAAGCGUGGGGAGCAAACAGG